UACGUAGGGUGCGAGCGUUAAUCGGAAUUACUGGGCGUAAAGCGUGCGCAGGCGGUUUGUAAGCCAGAUGUGAAAUCUCAGGCUCAACCCUGAAACUGCAUUCGAUACUGACGCGGCUAGAGUGCUGGAGGGAGACUGGAAUUUACGGUGUAGCAGUGAAAUGCGUAGAUAUCGUAAGGAAGACCAGUGGCGAAGGCGAGUCUCGUGGACAGCAACUGACGCUGAGGCACGAAGGCCAGGGAGCAA
rnacentral:rRNA from 1 species